rnacentral:rRNA from 1 species
CCUACGGGUGGCAGCAGUGGGGAAUAUUGCACAAUGGGGGGAACCCUGAUGCAGCAACGCCGCGUGAGUGAAGAAGUAUUUCGGUAUGUAAAGCUCUAUCAGCAGGGAAGAAAAUGACGGUACCUGACCACGAAGCACCGGCUAACUACGUGCCAGCAGCCGCGGUAAUCCGUAGGGGGCAAGCGUUAUCCGGAUUUACCGGGGGUAAAGGGGGCGUAGGCGGCUGUACAAGUCUGAAGUGAAAGCCCGGGGCUCAACCGCGGAACUGCUGUUGAAACUGCAAAGCUGGAGUACUGGAGAGGCAGGCGGAAUUCCUGGUGUAGCGGUGAAAUGCGUAGAUAUUAGGAGGAACACCAGUGGCGAAGGCGGCCUGCUGGACCGAAACUGACGCUGAGGCUCGAAAGCGUGGGGAGCAAACAGGAUUAGAUACCCUGGUAGUC